UUGCCAAGUGCUAGUUAGAGAUUGAGGAC
rnacentral:piRNA from 1 species